CGCGCCUCGCCUCAUCCGUGCCGAAGCAGUUGGCAUCGGCCGAGCUCCCUGGCACCCGGAGGGGGGAAAUCCUGAGCAAACCUGUGGUGGCACUUCCCUGUAUGAGCUUCCACCGAGUGCAGGACUCCACCUGAGAAACCAUCAAAAGGCAACUUAUUUCCAUGGAGCACCAAUAACCCCUCGGUCAUGCCGGCGUGGAUUUGAGGAGAGACAUGUGUGGCCUCAACCAUACAGGGAAUUUGAUCUCUGGGAUGA